rnacentral:RNase_P_RNA from 1 species
UAGGACAGAUGAUCGCGGCUGCAGGUGUCGAAAGACCGCAGGUGAGGAAAGUCCGGGCUUCACAGGGCAGGAUGCCGGAUAACGUCCGGUGGAGGUGACUCCAAGGAAAGUGCAACAGAAAUAUACCGCCGCGCAAGCGGUAAGGGUGGAAGGGCAGUGUAAGAGACUACCGCCUUCCUGGUAACAGGGAGGGCACAUGUAAACCCCAUUCGAAGCAAGACCGAACAAAAGCGUUGACGUGGCCCGCCAGCUUUAGGUAGGUCGCUUGAAAUGACUGGCAACAGCCAUUCUAGAUAGAUGAUCAUCCAAUGACAUAACCCGGCUUACCGUCCUGCUUAA